UACGAAGGGGGCUAGCGUUGCUCGGAAUCACUGGGCGUAAAGGGUGCGUAGGCGGGUCUUUAAGUCAGGGGUGAAAUCCUGGAGCUCAACUCCAGAACUGCCUUUGAUACUGAAGAUCUUGAGUUCGGGAGAGGUGAGUGGAACUGCCGAGUGUAGAGGUGAAAUUCGUAGAUAUUCGCAAGAACACCAGUGGCGAAGGCGGCUCACUGGCCCGAUACUGACGCUGAGGCACGAAAGCGUGGGGAGCAAACAGG
rnacentral:rRNA from 1 species